CGUGCUCGACCUGCUGCGGGCAGAUGAAGUGGAUAUGGCUGUCGAAGCCGCCGGCGGUGAUGAUCUUGCCCUCGCCGGCAAUGAUCUCGGUCGAGGCGCCGAUGACGAUGUCGACGCCCGGCUGGAUCGCCGGAUUGCCCGCCUUGCCGAUGCCGGCGAUGCGCCCGUCGCGCAGGCCGAUAUCGGCCUUCACGAUGCCCCAGUGGUCGAGGAUCAGCGCAUUGGUGAUGACCGUGUCCACCGCGCCCGCGGCGCGCGUGACCUGCGACUGGCCCAUGCCGUCGCGAAUA
rnacentral:sRNA from 1 species